rnacentral:rRNA from 1 species
AGCGAACGUUAGCGGCGGGCCUAACACAUGCAAGUCGAGCGAGAAAGGGGCUUCGGCCCUGAGUAAAGCGGCGGACGGGUGAGUAACACGUAGGUAAUCUUCCUUCGAGCGGGGGACAACGGUCCGAAAGGACCGCUAAUACCGCGUACGUUCCCGAGGACCCUGGUCCUUGGGGGGAAAGCUAGGUCCCAAGAUCCGGCACUGGGGGAGGAGCCUGCGUCGCAUCAGCUAGUUGGUGGGGUAAUGGCCUACCAAGGCGAAGACGCGUAGCUGGUCUGAGAGGAUGAUCAGCCACACUGGGACUGAGACACGGCCCAGACUCCUACGGGAGGCAGCAGUGGGGAAUAUUGGACAAUGGGCGCAAGCCUGAUCCAGCCACGCCGCGUGAGUGAUGAAGGCCUUCGGGUCGUAAAGCUCUGUGGGGAGGGACGAACCGCUGCACGUGCAUAGCGUGCAGCAUGACGGUACCUCCUUAGCAAGCACCGGCUAACUUCGUGCCAGCAGCCGCCGUAA